AGUAAGGAGUUAUUACACACAGAGUAGAUAAGCUGUUGGAAAAGAUCUCUGAGGUCAUCGAGUCCUACAGUCACCUUGUCAUCCAGACCACGCAGCUAAGUUUGUCCUUAAACAUCUCCAGGGAGGGCCCCUUCCAGCCUGGCGAUGGGUGGGGAGAGGAGCCGCAGAGCAGACAGCGCCAGGAGGCAGCUCUCGGAAGGCACCUGUGGGAGGAAGAGGCAGGGAUUCCAUGAAAGGCGUCGUGCUGUCGGUUGGCAAUGCAGAUGUUCAUGUUUAUCUGGCCAUGGGAGGACACGAGAGCAGUGUGCUCAGAGCUAUCAGCAAGAGCCUGAUCUUUCCAGCAAGCUGUUGUCAUGGUCUACAUGAAUUU